GUCAUCUUAACGAAUUAAUCACCAACCCACAACCGCCACGGCCGAGAGCACGCUGGGGACGAGGUUGGGAAAUGGAAAUCACACAGUACAACAAUGGCGGCGGAAAACGAUGCAAGACUCAAUAUAUAAUAGUGCUUUGAUGUUUCUCUUCCUCCACAAAAAUCCUGAAAAAUCAUCGUUUUACAAUGUGAAGUCCAGUUCAGUCGAAACUACUGUUGAAGGAAGUACAAUAUAUCUACAAUCUAUAUAUCUACGCCUAAUAGAUUUAGAGAACAACUUGAAUUUUAUCUUUGGUAAUUUUACGACCCCUAGUACUUCUAUCUUUCGGGAUGUUCGAUGAAAUAUGGCUGAAUUCAUAACAAACACGGGAUUGUGCAACAUGAUGUGCAUGUAGACCAUCUAAGGGCUAUUAAAGAGAAGUACAAUGGGCAGUCCAGCUCGCAGAGAAAAGUAAAAGUUGCAAGCCUUACAAAGUAGAUUGGGAAAGCUAAAGUAGACUGGAAAAGCUAAAGUUUACGUUUUGGAUUGAAAAGUUCUAAGCCUGGACCUUAAUAUGGAAUUAACAUGUAGCACUAAGUACAAUUAAUAAAACAGAGAGUCUCCACACUUAUCAUGAUACUGACUGUAUAGAACUAUGACUUCUCUUGCACGUGCAACAUGGUUGUUGACAGAUUGGUUGUUAUUGUCUUUCUUCUACUGUUAGAUGUGGGUACCUGUUGGAAAAACAAGGGACUCAACAAAGGACUGCAUGUGCCAGUUCAUUUAGUUUUUUCAUCAGCUAAGCUUGAUGCAGAGUGGGCAGCAUUGGUUUACUUGUUAUUGCAUCUUCAUUAUUAUCCAGUUAGUUCAGUUGGUAAGAGUGUCAGUCCAUAGUUCGAGCCUCAGCUGGACCAAAAAAACUCAGGAGAAGGUGAUGCCUUUGUAAUUACAUCUUCAAAUGGUUAGACCUUCAAGUGUUCUCGGAUAGGAACUUUAAACCAUAGGCCCUAUCUCCCAACCCUUCCUUAUAACCUGCAGUAAAAUGUCCAUUUUUCCAUUCCACAUAAAACAACCUGUUGAAUUAUUCAUAUAAGAGUAGGGGUUUUCCUCAGUUCAACAGCCUAUCCCAAUUUGGAGGCAUAAUACUAAUCUACUAACAACUGACUCAUGAUUUAAGCUGCACGGCUGCUAAUUGUGCCUUAAUAUGCAGCUCGUAAAGUCCUCCACUGGUCAUAAAUGUAAAGUGCAUUGAGACAUUGUGAAAUGCUCUUUAUAAGAACCUCCCAUUUUUAUUAUUGUCUGGACAAGGGUGCACACCAUAUAUCUGUGAAAUAAUUACUAGUCAUGCAUGUACGUUUAACAGUAUUUUUCUUUUAGUUAUCAACUAUUAAUAGUUUUAAACUAGCUAAAUGUUUAGCUUUUGUUCCCAAUUUUGUGCUCCACUAAUAUCCACUAUUGUAUAAAAUAAAAGCACCAAAAUAUCAGCAAUUAGACAGACAUGUUUGGUUUUGUUUCACAGAUUUAUGGCGUGCACUCUAUAUGACCAAAGUCAAAUAAUUUCUGUUGAUUGGGAGGGUUCUUGGGAAAAUCAAGGUAAAAUUUUAGUUUUCCUCCGGUUUUUCUACCUUAUUCGUUUCCUGUUGAAGCUAUGAUGAAAACAAAUUACUAUAUGUUA